GAUGAACGCUGGCGGCGUGCCUAACACAUGCAAGUCGAACGAAGCACCUUACCUGAUUCUUCGGAUGAAAGUUUGGUGACUGAGUGGCGGACGGGUGAGUAACGCGUGGGUAACCUGCCCUGUACAGGGGGAUAACAGCUGGAAACGGCUGCUAAUACCGCAUAAGCGCACGAGGAGACAUCUCCUUGUGUGAAAAACUCCGGUGGUACAGGAUGGGCCCGCGUCUGAUUAGCUGGUUGGCAGGGUAACGGCCUACCAAGGCAACGAUCAGUAGCCGGUCUGAGAGGAGGAACGGCCACAUUGGAACUGAGACACGGUCCAAACUCCUACGGGAGGCAGCAGUGGGGAAUAUUGCACAAUGGGGGAAACCCUGAUGCAGCAACGCCGCGUGAGUGAAGAAGUAUUUCGGUAUGUAAAGCUCUAUCAGCAGGGAAGAUAAUGACGGUACCUGACUAAGAAGCUCCGGCUAAAUACGUG
rnacentral:rRNA from 1 species